UAAAACUCUUGGCCAAUGGAUUAAAAUGAUCAAGGGUCACAAUUGCUCCAAUUACAUUUCACUUGGAUUACUAUCCAUAACUAUCUCUCUUAUCCAACCAAAACUCAGAAAAAAAAUUAAAUAAAAAGAGAAUAAAGGAAAGGGAUUUGAUUGGCACAAAGGGGGAAGAAACGCAUGACAACUAACAUUUUAGCCCAAUCCUCUUACCUCUCUCUCUUAAACACAUGUAAAAGAAAAGAGAGUAAAAAAAGGUUUAUUUUUUUGGAUUGCACAAGCCAAACAUUGCCUGAAGAUUGCAUUCUACCUCACCUAUUAACCAACACAUACUUCACUUUUCAAAAGUGACCACUGAAUAAAAUCCUCUUUCCACUCUCAUAACAAUUUUUUCCUCAAACCUACAAAAUUACUCCUUCACUUUUCUUGAUCCAUAACCCCCUCGUCUAAACUCACCCAUACACCUUUUGACAUCACCAUAAUUGCUUACCAACCAACACUAGCGAUAUCACUUCAAACAUCCAAAACCCAUACUACCACCAUCACCCACCGUAAAUCGACUUCAUCACCACAACAACCACCGCAACACCCUUCUAACGUCGACAACACUCCAUCGACCUCCACCCUUACUACAUCCUCACACUGCCAACCAUGACAUACAUCCCACCAUGAAAACCACCAUUCAUCUUCUUCACAAACCGUGUGAUACCCUACCUUAACCACACCAUCAAACAUAGACAAAAAAUCACCGUGAAAUCCGACCUUCAAGCAACCCAAACCCAUCGCCGUAACAACAUCAACAUUUGAACCAACCCCACCGUGAAACACCUCCGACAACACCGACCACCACUGAUUGGUCUAAUUUUUGACAUCGGAGAAGCUGAUUUCAUACUUCAAACGAUUUCCUUGGUUUUGGUUGUCAACUUAUUUCAGUUAUAUGUGUUCGGUGACUUUGUUUGUCGAUUCCGCAAGUGUUUUCAGGUUUAUUUCCAUCUUUGAGUCAACAAAUAUUUGAUUUCACAUCAACUCCUUUUGUUGUUGUUGUGAUUUUGUUUUGUAGGUGUAUUGGUCCAAACGAUUUUGCUACUGCCAUGUGAUUAAGCUGAAACGUUGAAAAUGUUGUUUUAGUUUAUUAAGUUAUUGCGUUAUUAUCAUACCUGCUUGGAUCCUAUUUCGUUUCUUAGUAUCCUAUUUAGUCACUUUAAUUUUGUUUUAGCGUAGAUUGCGUAUUUACGUUUAUGUUUGGUUGUGUUUUCAUCUAGUUAUGAUGCUAGAAAAUAUGUUGUUUGGAAUAUUUUUACUGGUUUAUAGGGCUGGGCUGAAAAUGAGCCGAGUCGAGUCGAACUUGCCUCAGCUCGGCUCGAAUCAUUAAGAAUUGGUUCAGCUUAAAUCUCAGUUCGGGUUCGCCAUUAACUUUUUAAAACUCAAACUCGACUCGUUAUAAUUUCACGAGUAACUUAGUUCGACUCGUUAGGUUUAGCUCGCUCACUUCACAAACUUAAAAUCUUAUAUAUAUAUAUAUAUAUAUAUAUAUAUUUUAAAUUAAUAUUAUUUUAAAAAGAAAGUAUUGAAAUAAAAUAAAAGUUAUUAGAUUGAAAUUUAACUUUGUCUCAAAAAUAUACUAAUUCAGAAACUAAUUAAUUUAUGUGAUUCUAAUUUUAUUUUUAUAAUUAUUUUUAGAAAUAUUUUACUCACUUGAGAAUAUAAAUUAUCAAUUUAAACCGUUAGAUUAAAUUAAAAUAUAAAGUUAAAAUUAAUAAUAAAUCUUUAAACCUACUUUUAAAGACAAAAUAGUCCUUCUCAUAUAUAAUCGAGUUGACUCAUGAACCUAACGAGUCAAAUUAUGUAUAGUUCAAGUUGAACUCAUUUAGUUAACAAACUUGAUUUUUCGCUCAUAUUCAGCUCAUUAGAUUCAUGAACCAAGUUCAACAAAUUAAUUGUUGAACCGAGUUCCAAACUAUUUUCGAGUUGGUUCAAUUCAUUGCCAGCUAUACUGGUUUGAUGUCAGAUAGGUGAAUGUAUUUGUUAUAUGGGUAUUGAAAACUUUCUUCACAAUAAAAUCCAGUAGUUUUUGAAAAAUGUUUGCAACUGUAACUUAUUUCAAUUUAUCUAGUUAAAAUAAAGGGUUUAGUAUCUCUAAAUUAAAAUCUUUCUAUCGCUAUUUCAUCUCGCCAAUGUUUGAUUUCAUGGUAGCCACUGUCACCUAAAAAACAAAAUAAGGCUCUCGUCCCCUCCCCUAUACUAUGAAGCUGCUAUUAUCAUAUAAAAAAAGUUGCAUCUAUCUUUUCUUUUUAAUAUGCGUGUGUUUCUUUGAUUUGAGAUAUGGAGGUUUGAGGAUGAAUUUUUUCAAUUUGUUUUCUUUAUGACUUUAUCAUGAUUUUUUCCAAGGGGUUCAAAUGAUAUUUUGGGUAUGGUGUUUUUACUCGUUGAAUAGAUAUAUAAAAAAUGAGUUAAUAAAUUUUUGUUGUUGUGCUAGAACAUCUGAACUUUGACUAUACCAGAAUUUCAAUUGGUAUCAGAGCAGGCAUCCUGUUCUGUUUCUGGAUGAGAUCCAUGGG
rnacentral:lncRNA from 1 species